AUGAAGAUAGCAGGAGAGCGGCCAAUGACGAAUACCAUAAUGGUAUAACACGUCGGCCCGCCGAAGAAGUAAGCGAAAAGCGAUAUGAUCCCAUCAUGUUUUAAUUCGUAAAUCUUUCAGGCACCAGGUUGCAGUAAUGCAAUAGGUAUGGACUGUUAUUGGAGG
rnacentral:ncRNA from 1 species